rnacentral:rRNA from 1 species
AUGUCUGGUAUCAAACUUGUAGCACUUAGUCUCGUUGCCCUGCUAGUAGUUGGACUAUCCAAUGCUGCACGGGUAGCUAGAUUGUCUAGUGCAGAGGGGCAAGGUCAAGGAGGGGGAGCGGGAGGUGGAACGGGUACCGGUGCCGGGGCAGGGUCUGGGGGUGGCGAUGGGUCGGCUGGCAGUAGUGUUAGUAUGUCUGGGUCACCGGAUCAUGCCCGGGCUACUUCCGGUGGUGGCGGUAGUGGUGGCAGUGGGUAUGGCUCAGGGUCAGGGUCAGGAUCUAGCUCAAGUACUAGCCGUGGUGUCGGAAGAGCAUGGAUUAGCGGUGGGCGUACUGAUGCUGGAGGUGCCGGUGGUGGUGGGGGUGCCGGAAGAGGAGACGGUCACCAAGGAUCUAGUGGCCAUGGCGAUGGCUCCGGCUUUGGGAGCGGCUCCAGCAAGGUGGACAGUGAAGGCUAUUAUGGGGCAUCUGGCUAUACUAAUGGUGGCGGCAAUGGUGAUGGUGGAGGUCAUGGCGAAGGUGGUGGAUACGGUAACGGUGGAGGGAAUGGGUCAGGUUAUGGCAACGGUGAAUUCCCUUAA